ensembl:lncRNA
AGUCACUCAAGAGACAUGCCCUUUGGUUGCACAAGCAUAAUGACUUGUGUUAAUUAUAGUAUAAAAAAAUGUGAGUUGUUGGGGAGAAGACAUUAACUUGACUCCUGAUCACACAGUCAGGUUCCAGCAUCUUGUUCUUGAAGAGACUGUCCCCAUGGCGACGAUGUUGACUGUCCUUAUCCUACUCAUCAUUGCCUUUGCAUGUGAGAGAGACACCUUCACACUACUAGAAUUUUUCUACGGCUGGCCAUGCUUUCCACCUGGCUACUCCUACCCCGGUCAACAGUACUGCACCCCCAACAGCAAUUCGCCCAAGCCUUCCCCAUUUCUCCUUCUCCCAAAUCCAUUCAGCUGAUGUUCUGAAAGAGCUGCAAAAUCUGGACCCCUACAAAUCAGCCGGGCUAGACAAUCUGGACCCUUUCUUUCUAAAAUUAUCUGCCGAAAUUGUUGCCACCCCUAUUACUAGCCUGUUCAACCCCUGUAAACAGGUCAAUGGAAUUCAACCAAAACAGUGAAAAUGCCAUGGAAACACCUCCCACGCAUCCCCCUGUGAGGGAUAGAUCUAGAAUCUCCUUAUUGCCACCCUUCAAAAUUAAGCUACAUUUUAAUAAUUUGCCUACAUUUACAGUGCAUUCAGAAAGUGUUCAGAGCCCAUUACUUUUUCCACAUUUUGAUAAGUUACUGCCUUAUUCUAAAAUGGAUAAAAUUGAUUUUUUUUUUUGCUCAAUAAACUACACACAAUACCCCAUAAUGUCAAAGCAAAAACUGUUUUUUAUAUAUUUUUUUUCUCCAAAUGUGUAUAUAUAUAUAAAAAAACUGAAAUAUCACAUUUACUUAAGCAUUCAAACCCUUUACUCUGUACUUUGUUGAAGGAUCUUUGGCAGUGAUUACAGCCUCGAAUCUUCUUGGGUAUGACACUACAAGCUUGGCACACCUGUAUUUGGGGAGUUUCUCCCAUUCUUCUCUGCAGAUCCUCUCAAGCUCUGUCAGGUUGGAUGGGGAGCAUUGCUGCACAGCUAUUUUCAGGUCUCUCCAGAGCUCUGUUAGAGUGACCAUCUGGUUCUUGGUCACCUCCCUGACCAAGGCCCUUCUCCCCCAAUUGCUCAGUUUGGCCGGGCGGCCAGCUCUAGGAAGAGUCUUGAUGGUUCCAAACGUAUUCCAUUUUAAGAAUGAUGGCCAUUGUGUUCUUGGGGACCUCCAAUGCUGCAGAAAUGUUUUGGUUCCCUUCUCCAGAUCUGUACCUCAACACAAUCCUGUCUCGGAGCCCUACAAACAAUUCCUUUGACCUCAUGGCUUGUUUUUUUCUCUGACAUGCACUGUCAACUGUGGGACCUUAUAUAGACAGUUUUGUGCCUUUCCAAAUCAUGUCAAAUCAAUUAAAUUUACCACAGGUGGACUCCAAUCAAGUUGUAGAAACAUCUCAAGGUUAAUCAAUGGAAACAGGAUGCACCUGAGCUCAAUUUCGAGUCUCAUAGCAAAGGGACUGAAUACUUAUGUAAAUAAGACCUGUCCUUUUCAGGUAACAGGACCCUGGAACCCUCAUCAUCUGGAACCGAGGAGCCGUCCUUCUCAGGUGACAGGACCCUGGAACCCUCAUCAUCUGGAACCGAGGAGCCGUCCUUCUCAGGUGAUAGGACCCUGGAACCACCAUCAUCUGGAACCGAGGAGCCGUCCUUCUCAGGUGACAGAACCCUGGAACCUCCAUCAUCUGGAACCGAGGAGCCAUCCUACUCGGGUGACAGGACCCUGGAACCCCCAUCAUCUGGAACCGAGGAGCCAUCCUACUCUUCUGACAGGACCCUGGAACCUUCAUCAUCUGGAACCAAGGAGCCGUCCUUCUCAGGUAACAGGACCCUGGAACCACCAUCAUCUGGAACAGAGGAGCCGUCUUUCUCAGGUGACAGGACCCUGGAACCCCCAUCAUCUGGAACCGUGGAGCCGUCCUUCUCAGGUGACAGGACCCUGGAACCACCAUCAUCUGGAACCAAGGAGCCGUCUUUCUCAGGUGAUAGGACCCUGGAACCCCCAUCAUCUGGAACCGAGGAGCCGUCCUUCUCAGGUAACAGGACCCUGGAACCCCCAUCAUCUGGAACCGAGGAGCCGUCUUUCUCAGGUGACAGGACCCUGGAACCACCAUCAUCUGGAACCGUGGAGCCGUCUUUCUCAGGUGACAGGACCCUGGAACCCCCAUCAUCUGGAACCGUGGAGCCGUCUUUCUCAGGUGACAGGACCCUGGAACCCCCAUCAUCUGGAACCGUGGAGCCGUCUUUCUCAGGUGACAGGACCCUGGAACCCCCAUCAUCUGGAACAGAGGAGCCGUCCUCCGGAGUGUGAGAAGAUCAUGAACAGCAACGGGAGAGUUGAUAAUAUUGAUUACCAUGAUAUUGACCAGGGUAUAUUUUUUUACAUGGAUAUUGCAGUGUCAUUUCAGACACAGCCUGAGAGGGAAAAGUACAGCAAUUGUUUGUCAGAUUUAUUUAGCAUAAUUGUUAACUUUUCUGCUAUCCUGUCUAGUAACUUUCCAUAACUAUGUAGACAGUAAAGCCUUAUAUGCUGUAGUGUGUCUUUCACUGAAGCUUUCCUAUCCUCUGUGCUGACUGUCAUUAGCAGACCUGGGCUCAAACAUACUAUCUGAAAUCUUCCAAAUACUUUGAGUGUUUUAUCUAGCCUGUCUGAAGUGCUGGAUGGGCAGUGUUUGCAGUUUUGGGACAAUUGUAUUGGUCAAUUUUACCAUGCAGGCUCAUUCAAGCACAGAUUAAGUAUUUGGAAUGAUUUCAAAUAGUAUUUUAACCAGGUCUGGACAUAAGAAAAUAUUACAUAACAUAUACAUGUAAGAUCCUGUUUUUGUUAUUUUAUCCCCCUCUACUUUACACAGGGCAGGAGGCCUUCCAGGCUUCUGGUCUAUCAGAUGUCAAAGACCUCUGUAGUACCACUUCAUACAGAGUUUGACUCUUUCUAUCUUCUGUUUCAUCAUCUAAACCCUGUGUCCCAUCAUGUAGUUGUUUUGGAGGCAUUCUGUCAUGGAAUAAAUCUAUAUGAUCAAGAUCAUCUUGUCCUAGUUGCAAGGUCCCUCCUGGGAAGGUGGGUGGGGUCAUUUCUUUUUCUUUGCAAUUUUCUCUCUUUGCAAUUCUGUCACUAUUGUGAAAGUUGUUUUAGACUUAAAGCAUAUAGCCCAAUUGACAAGUACUUCAUGACUGUGCCACCAGUGGACGCUGCUAAGGGGAGGACGGCUCAUAAUAAUGGCUGGAAUGGAGUCAAUGGAACGCUAUCAAACGUGGUUUCCAUGUGGUUGAUACCAUUCCAAUGACUCCAUUCCAGGCAUUACUAUGAGCCGUCCUCCCCACAGCAGCCUCCACUGUGUGCCCACAUUGUAAUUGAUAUACAGUAUGUUUGCCAAGGUUAUACAGUGUAAGAUUAAGUAGUGUAUGGUUCCAACUUGUAUAGAUCACGGUAACAUAUAAUGUACUAACAAUAUCAAUAUUAUGUUUGCGUUUUCUCUAGGCAAUGUUAUUGUACUGUACUUCUUCAUAUUGCACUCGGUGAACCAGAACUGUGUGUGUGCGUGUGUAUGCAUAUGUAUUGCUUGAUUAGGACAAGCAAUACAAACGCAAAAGUGUUUACUUCUCUUGAGACGAGUAUGAUGAAGAGAGGAAAAAAAGAGUUGUCGAGUUGCAUAAACGCCCAGGCUUUGGGGAAGUGUUGCUACUAUUAAAUAAAGAAGAGAUGAUUAAUG